rnacentral:lncRNA from 1 species
GAGCGAUUGCCGUGGGCAAGUUCUUGUUUUGCUUCUCUCCUCUUUGCUCCUUUCGCAUUCCAUAGCAUGGUAAUUAACAGCACUCGGAGUGUUUUAAAAUAAAUAUGCUGGUGACGUUUGGUGGUAUGUUUUGUUCCCAGACGAUCAACAGCCAUUUCUUGGAAAGCAGCUGGAGACUCAGCUGAGAGCAGCCCCGAAGCGCUUUUAUUCAGCGCCAUUGCAAGUGAUUGCCUGAGAAAAUAACAGUGUCACACAAUGCUGCGCCUCUUUGCGCGGGCACAUCGCUGGAGAAGAAAACAUGGGGAUUUGCCGCUCUUUCUUCCCUCGUUUAUCCCAGGGGCCCCUGGCAGCCCGUCCUGUUUGCCCUGGGAAAAACCCAACUGCUGCACCCAUAAACUUUUGUGCUGAGAAGGGAAUUUCAAAUCCAAAGAGGCAUCGGUGGCAAGCAGGCGGUGCAGCUUGUGGCUUGCCUCUGGCUUGUGAAGCCCAUGAUAGCAAAGUCUUUUGCAUAAAAGGACUGAGUCACAGGAGUUCAGCUGUACAAGGCGUUUAUCAGAUCCAGCAUGGAAAUAAACAGUUUAAAAAACAGGACUUACCAUGGGAUUUAUUUUUUACUUUCAAGAGAAUGCUACUGGUUGGCAACCAACUAGAAGGGGAAGACAAAAGAGUUGUUUUGGUCCGCUUCUUUUGCAAAUGCUCUCUAUUCCUGUUUAUUGACUUCUUGUAUUGUAUAGUAAAAGCUGUGUUCAUCUGAGUUCUCAUCAGCCAAUUUGAAGGCAUAACUUUGGGGUUCGCAGUUGUGGAAGUACUCAUCAAGUAAUCAUUAAAUGACUUCAAAGAAGGAGUAGGGUCCGUAUCAGUAGAGGCUAAAGUCAGAGUAUGAUGGAAUUUGGUUUCCAUAGUAGACUUGGAGGGACUUGCCUUAAUUCCUUCAGAUGCAAUUAUUUGCACAGGAGUGUUGCCAUUCUCCGCUGUAUACACUGGAUUGUCCAUCUGCUCUCCUUUAUACAUUUUGGUCUGCUCCAAGUGUUGUGGAGGUUCUGUUAGAUCUGCCUUUUUCUUGGAGACCUCAGAAUUAGGAAGCGGCAUUUGAAGCAUUUCUUCCUGCAUCUUUGGUGGGAUACUUUUAAGAGAUUGGACUGGAACUCUCUGUUCUUCCAAGGAGACGUGAGGAAAAGUAAUAGCAUUCGUGAUUUCCCCUUCAGGACUUCUCACAUGUGUUGUCAUCCAUUGUGUGGUUGUAGAGACAUCAUUCCGAGGACUGACAAAUUCAGCGAUAGCUCCAUGGUUUUUUGCUGUUUCCAAUGUUGUCAUUCUUUGAGGAUUAUGAGUCAUGUGUGGAAAGGUUGAAUAAACAUCUGGCUUGUGUAUAAAAGCUUCUUCA